rnacentral:RNase_P_RNA from 2 species
UAAGUAGAUCAGGUAAUCGCGGAAGAAAUGCUAUUUCUUUCGAGGAAAGUCCGAGCUCCACAGGGCAGAGUGCUGGGUAACCCCCAGUGAGGGUAACCUUAAGGAAAGUGCUGCAGAAAAUACACAGCCAAGCACUCAAAUUGAGUGCUUGGUAAAGGUGAAAAGGCAGGGUAAGAGCCUACCAGUUGUUAGGUGACUAACAAGCUUAGUAAACCCCGCUCGGAGCAAGACCAAAUAGGAAGAGCUGUGGUGGCCCGCUGAAUCUUCGGGUAGGUCGCUAGAGGUGUAAGGUAACUUACAUCCCAGAUAGAUGAUUACCACCCUUAUAAUUAAUUCGUUAGUUAGUUGCUUGGUUAGCUGGUUAAUUGGUUAAUAAAUUAUUAGUAUUUAACUAGUUAACCAGAUAACCAAGUAACAAAUUUACAUUUCGUAUUUUAAACUAACGACUAUUUACUAUUCACUAACGACUAAUUAAUAAGGGGACAGAACUCGGCUUAUACGAUCUACUUAUCAA